AGGUUGCCCUGAUGUUGUAUGCUGUUGAAAAUGGUAAAGUCAAUGAGUGGAAGGGAAGGCAGAUGAAGGACAUAGUAGUAGAAGAUUUACCUCUUCCAAUUGAAGACGAAGAUGGCCAUCAAGAAGAGUCCAUGUCAACUGCUGACAGUGAAGAGCCAGGCAGUCUGACCCAUGAUAGGAGGAGCCAAGUGAAGAGC